rnacentral:rRNA from 1 species
UACUGAGUUUACGCUCUAUAACCCUUUGUGAACAUACCUUUAACUGUUGCUUCGGCGGGCAGGGUCUCCGUGACCCUCCCGGCCUCCCGCCCCCGGGCGGGUCGGCGCCCGCCGGAGGAUAACCAAACUCUGAUUUAACGACGUUUCUUCUGAGUGGUACAAGCAAAUAAUCAAAACUUUUAACAACGGAUCUCUUGGUUCUGGCAUCGAUGAAGAACGCAGCGAAAUGCGAUAAGUAAUGUGAAUUGCAGAAUUCAGUGAAUCAUCGAAUCUUUGAACGCACAUUGCGCCCGCCAGCAUUCUGGCGGGCAUGCCUGUUCGAGCGUCAUUUCAACCCUCAAGCUCUGCUUGGUGUUGGGGCCCUACAGCUGAUGUAGGCCCUCAAAGGUAGUGGCGGACCCUCCCGGAGCCUCCUUUGCGUAGUAACUUUACGUCUCGCACUGGGAUCCGGAGGGACUCUUGCCGUAAAACCCCCCAAUUUUCCAAAGGUUGACCUCGGAUCAGGUAGGAAUACCCGCUGAACUUAAGCAUAUCAAUAAGCGGAGGAAAAGAAACCAACAGGGAUUGCCCCAGUAACGGCGAGUGAAGCGGCAACAGCUCAAAUUUGAAAUCUGGCCCUAGG